UGAGGAAUCUUGGGCAAUGGGGGAAGCCCUGACCCGGCCACGCCGCGUGCAGGAAGACACCCCUAUGGGGCGUAAACUGCUUUUGUGCGAGAAGAAGGCCCCGUUCGUCGGGGUUUGACGGUACCGCACGAAUAAGCACCGGCUAACUCCGUGCCAGCAGCCGCGGUAAUACGUAGGGGGCGAGCGUUGUCCGGAAUUAUUGGGCGUAAAGAGCGUGUAGGCGGCCUGGUAAGUCUGCCGUGAAAACCUGGGGCUCAACCCUGGGCGUGCGGUGGAUACUGCUAGGCUAGAGGAUGGUAGAGGCGAGUGGAAUUCCCGGUGUAGCGGUGAAAUGCGCAGAUAUCGGGAGGAACACCAGUAGCGAAGGCGGCUCGCUGGGCCAUUCCUGACGCUGAGACGCGAAAGCGUGGGGAGCAAACAGGAUUAGAUACCCCCGUAGUCC
rnacentral:rRNA from 1 species